UAACCCAUAAGAGUACAGUUGUUUAGAUGCUGAUACUGUAACUAUUAACUAACAAUUAUAAUAGGUAAAGCGACACGAUGUUCAUCCACCAAAUCUUCAGGAACUACCACUUGUCUUAAAGCCUUUUCCCUCUCUCUUACAAUCUAAAAUCAGUUUCGUCUGGGGAGAGGUCUGGCUUCUAGGCCGUCAACCCUCUCCCCCAUCUAUUAUUAUUAUUAUUAUUAUUGUUUUAGUGAGAGCAUGACUCUCUCUGGUGGGGAAGAUUUUCUUUCCUCUUUUGUAUCUGUGAUUAGUUUUGUUUGUGUUUGUUAGUUGUUGGUCUGCAAGUGCUCUGCUUCAGUGUGAGGUUUUGGUGCAGAUCGGAGCAUGUGGUUUGGUUCUGACAUUAGGGAGCUCUCCCCAGUUACGGCAAUGUUUAUGGUUUAGAUUGGCCAUCAUAUGUCGGGGCUAUAGGAGAAUGAGACGCCGUUGCUUCUGCCUUGCAAUUCCCAGUUCUUCUGACAAUGGUCCUAACCCUUUGGUGCAUCUGGCUCCUUCGGCUGGUUCUGCUAGUAGAAGACGUCGCCCCUGAAGGCUUCCGAGAGGUGUUUCGAGUCAAUCCGGUUGUCUUUGGGUCCUUUGUUGUCUGGGCUUGAGGGACUUUUGUAGUUUUUUUGGGU